GCUGAGUCCAAAAAGAGAGUCAGUGAAGGGAGAUAGGGGUGGGGCAAUUUUAUAGGAUUUGGGUAGGUAAAGGAAAAAGGGGGGUUGUUCUCUGGCAGGCAGGAGUGGGGGCCACAAGGUGCUCAGUAGGGGAGCUUUGGAGCCAGGAUGAGCAAGGAGAAGGAAUUUCACAAGGUAAUGUCAUCAGUUAAGGCAGGAACCGGCCAUCUGGAUAUGUACAUGCAGGUCACAGGAGAUAAUGAUGGCUUAGCUUGGGCUCAGAGGACUGACACUCUUCCUCCAGAGGAGGAGACCCAGACAGAAGAGGAGGAGGCAAGGUGAUCACAGAGGCAGAGAUUGGAUCAUGCAGCCACAAGUUGAGGAAUUCUAGUAGCCUCUACAAGCUGGAAGACGCAAGGAAUGGAUUCUCCCCUAGAACCUCUGAAGGAGCAUUCUCCUGCUGACAUUUGAUUGAUUUUGGACUUCUGGCCUCCAGACAAUUAAUUUUUUUUUUUUUUCUUUUUUUUUUUCAGACAGAGGCUUGCUCUGUUGCCCAGUCUGGAGUGCAGUGGCAUGAUCUCAGUUCACUGCAACCUCCACCUCCCAGGCUCAAGCCAUUCUCUUGCCUCAGCCUCCCAAGAAGUGGGGACUACAGGUGCCUGCCACCAUGCAUGGCUAAUUUUUGUAUUUUUAGUAGAGACGAGGUUUUGGCAUAUUGGCCAGGCUGGUCUCGAAUUCCUGGCCUCAAGUGAUUCACCCAACUCAGCCUCCCAAAGUCCUGAGAUUACUUAGGUGUGAGCCACGGCACCUGACACAGACAUUGUUUGAAGCCACCCAUUUCAUGGUUCUUUGCUGCAGUGGUUGUGGAAUAUGAAUGCACUCGUGCUGUUGGUUAGACUUUGCUGACCUUGUGUCUGUUAUUCCCUGGCAGUUCUACAAGGCCUGGAGCUGAUAGGAAAAACCUCCCUUCUUUCCCAAAUGGUCCCCAGCUGCCCCGUUCACUGAAGGCCCUGCAGUCAGGAACGGUCAGGACUUCACACCCAGUUGUUGUGGGUGUUUGGCCGACACGACACUUCCUCUUGUGUGAUUCAUGGACCCGCAGCAUUGCGUCACCUGGGAGCUUUUGGUAUUGAAGACUCUCAGGGCUCACCCGGAAGGACCUGCUGGGCCAGAAUCUACAUUUUAACAAGAUGCCCAGAAACUCCUGGAGGGCAGAGGCAUGCCUGCCAUCUUCAUCAUUGCAUUACCACCACCCAACACUAUCGGGGGACCUGCCCUGAUAAUCAGUUCCUCCCACUGAAGAAUC
rnacentral:lncRNA from 1 species